GUACUCACUUUUACAGCACACAUUCUAAAAUUAGAAUGCUAUUGCAAAUAUUAGCAUGGCCUCUGUGCAAGGAUGACAUGCAAAUUAAUGAAUCAUUCCAUGUUUUU